rnacentral:rRNA from 1 species
GAUGAACGCUGGCGGCGUGCCUAAUACAUGCAAGUCGAGCGAACAGACGAGGAGCUUGCUCCUCUGACGUUAGCGGCGGACGGGUGAGUAACACGUGGAUAACCUACCUAUAAGACUGGGAUAACUUCGGGAAACCGGAGCUAAUCCCGGAUAAUAUAUUGAACCGCAUGGUUCAAUAGUGAAAGACGGUUUUGCUGUCACUUAUAGAUGGAUCCGCGCCGCAUUAGCUAGUUGGUAAGGUAACGGCUUACCAAGGCGACGAUGCGUAGCCGAGCUGAGAGGGUGAUCGGCCACACUGGAACUGGGACACGGUCCAGACGCCUACGGGAGGCAGCAGUAGGGAAUCUUCCGCAAUGGGCGAAAGCCUGACGGAGCAACGCCGCGUGAGUGAUGAAGGUCUUCGGAUCGUAAAACUCUGUUAUUAGGGAAGAACAAAUGUGUAAGUAACUGUGCACGUCGUGACGGUACCUAAUCAGAAAGCCACGGCUAACUACGUG